AGAGUGAACGCUGGCGGUAGGCCUAACACAUGCAAGUCGAACGGCAGCACAGGAGAGCUUGCUCUCUGGGCGGCGAGUGGCGGACGGGUGAGGAAUACAUCGGAAUCUACCUUUUCGUGGGGGAUAACGUAGGGAAACUUACGCUAAUACCGCAUAAGACCUUCGGGUGAAAGCCGGGGACCUUCGGGCCUGGCGCGGAUAGAUGAGCCGAUGUCGGAUUAGCUUGUUGGCGGGGUAAAAGCCCACCAAGGCGACGAUCCGUAGCUGGUCUGAGAGGAUGAUCAGCCACACUGGAACUGAGACACGGUCCAGACUCCUACGGAGGCAGCAGUGGGAAUAUUGGACAAUGGGCGCAAGCCUGAUCCAGCCAUACCGCGUGGGUGAAGAAGGCCUUCGGGUUAGUAAAGCCCUUUUAGUUGGGAAAGAAAGUCCCGUAGACCGGUUAAUAACCAGUAAGGAUUAGGACCGUAACCCGAAAGUAAGUAAA
rnacentral:rRNA from 1 species